AGCAACGCGAAGAACCUUACCUAAGCUUGACAUCCCAAUGACAUCUCCUUAAUCGGAGAGUUCCCUUCGGGGACAUUGGUGACAGGUGGUGCAUGGUUGUCGUCAGCUCGUGUCGUGAGAUGUUGGGUUAAGUCCCGCAACGAGCGCAACCCUUGUCUUUAGUUGCCAUCAUUAAGUUGGGCACUCUAGAGAGACUGCCAGGGAUAACCUGGAGGAAGGUGGGGAUGACGUCAAAUCAUCAUGCCCCUUAUGCUUAGGGCUACACACGUGCUACAAUGGGUAGUACAGAGGGUUGCCAAGCCGUAAGGUGGAGCUAAUCCCUUAAAUCUACUCUCAG
rnacentral:rRNA from 1 species